ensembl:lincRNA
ACGCUGCGCAGGCGCACUGGAGCUGUUGCGUCGCGACGGCGCAGACAGUGACAUCAUCAGAUGGUGCAGGCAAGGGCCACGUGGAAGACCGACAAAGAAAGACUGAACAAGUAUAUUUGCUGUGUGCACAAAAAAGAUUUCUACGUGGCUUUGCGUUCUUUUCUUUCGAGAUGGUGCUGACACAAGCGUGUUACGCUGCGGUGGACUUUUCAGCGAGCCGAUGCCCUCCAGGCUUCCUCCGAGGAACUCAUCCCGAGCGACAUGGAGAAGGUUGCAUAGUCCACUUGUGAACACCAGGGUUUCCAUCCAUAAAAGAGAAGCCAGAGGUGGGGAGAGGUGAGUUGCCAGCUGCCGUCCUGUAGCAGCUCUGUACCGGCAUGGGUCUGACCUGUGUGUCCCACUUGUGUGAGCCUUGCUGCUAGCAGCUCAGCAUGCACCUGGCCAGAAAUUU